rnacentral:tRNA from 1 species
AAGGGCUUAGGAUAAAUUAGACCAAAAGCCUUCAAAGCUUUAAGCAGAAGUGAGAAUCUUCUAGCCCUUG